GCAGAAGAAGAUGAAGAAAAACUAAUAAUUGCCAUUUUUUUAACUCAUGAUUUGGAUCAAAUUAUGUAAUCAAACCACUUAGAGAUGAAGGGGGUAUGAUCUAUGGACUCUCCAGGAACAUCUUCAAGCUUGGAAGGCUUCUCUUUUAUUCCCACAAGCCUCGCUAGAUUUCCAACAGCAGUAGUUCUCAGCGACACAUCGAUCAGAACAACCACUCUAGCUCCAAUCUUUGCUCCCUCUUCGAUCUUUACAUUUCCCAAAAUCGUAAAACUAGCUCCAAUCAAAACCCCAUCACCGAUCUUCGGGUGUCAAUCCUCUCCAACCUUACCAGUCCCAUCUAGGGUGACAUGAUGC